rnacentral:rRNA from 1 species
GAACUUUGAAGAGAGAGUUCAAAAGGACGUGAAACCGCUUGCAGGGAAACAGAUGGACCCACGAAGUCCAGUUGGUAGUGAGAUUCACAUUUUUCAGUUUGCUGGGUUGCUUGUUUACUCUCCUUUAGGGGAAUGCAAGUCACUGUGUGCAGCCUUAGAGAUGCAUUUCUCGCUAUCACGAUGGAGCUCUGACUUCUCAGAGCAGUUUGACUGCUUAGGACCGCCGUAUAAUGUGGUAGAUUCAUUUAGAAUCAUUUCACUUUAUGCGGUUAGUUGUUCAAACUUAAUUGAGAGGUUGAAUUUCUUGCAUUUGCAAGUGUUCAGGUUGUCGGUCUGCAUGUAUUGCAGAGCAAGUGCUGUGUAUGCCUUUCGGCUCUUGCAGUUGAAAACUUGCACAGAGUUCUUGUUCAAGUGCAUUGCAUGCAAGCCAAUGAUAAUCCAGAGUAAGUCGGUCGGUCAUCCAUCUGACCCGUCUGGAAACACGGACCAAGGA